rnacentral:lncRNA from 1 species
ACCCAAGAAAAUUUUUUUGUGCACCAUGGGUGUUGUAGAACACGCGCAUUGCCUGCAGUGAUUAACUCACACUCGGGGUCGGGGCGCGGCGCACAAAAAAUUUUUUUUUUUCUUUCAACCCCGUGUGUGAGCCAAUCACCACAUAUGGUGCACGUAGUUCUGCACUGCUCGCGGUGCACAAAGAAUUUCAGUUGACCCGG